ensembl:lncRNA
GCCCGAUCAGAGGGGUCUUCCAGUGUGGCUGCAGCCUGCUGCUCUGCGGAGCCUGAGACACGGCUGCACAUCCCCACUGUGGCUGCCCAGUUUCCGGCAGAUGCCCCAGCACUGAGCCGGGUGGGAUCCUACCACAAAAUGAGGGUUGCGUAAAAAACAAAAAAAGGAUGAAACGGCCAGCCGGUGUAACGGAUUUCUUCCUCCUGGGCCACGUCGAGCAGCCGUUGCAGUACGUCCAAACGUCUUCGGCAUCAUACCAUUUCUUAAGACAUUGUGGCUUUAGCAAAUGCUUUACAUGAUCUGCACAACAUAUUCUAUAGAUCUACGCAACAUAUUCUACAGAUCUGAACAACAUACUCUACAGAUCUAUGCAACAUAUUCUACAGAUCUAUGAAGCCUACUCAAC